AUUGAACGCUGGCGGCAGGCCUAACACAUGCAAGUCGAGCGGAGCGGCGGACGGGUGAGUAAUGCCUAGUAAUCUGCCUGGUAGUGGGGGAUCACGUCCGGAAACGGGCGCUAAUACCGCAUCCUAUCAGCUGAGCCUAGGUCGUAUUAGCUAGUUGGUGGGGUAAAGGACUACCAAGGCGACGAUCCGUAACUGGUCUGAGAGGAUGAUCAGUCACACUGUAACUGAGACACGGUCCAGACUCGUACGGGAGGCAGUAGUGGGGAAUAUUGGACAAUGGGCGAAAGCCUGAGCCAGCCAUGCCGCGUGGGUGAAGAAGGUCUUCGGAGUGUAAAGCUCUUUAAGUUGGGAGGCGUUACCAACAGAAUAAGCACCGGCUAACUUCGUGCCAGCAGCCGCGGUAAUAC
rnacentral:rRNA from 1 species